AGGUGUGUUGGUGUAAAAAUUGAUGCUGACUGAACUCAGGCAGUUGUGCUGGACCAUCUGUACCUAAUACAGGGGAUGACAGUAAACUUCCAAGUUUAAGAGCCACCUGAUGAUGAGAGAGACAAUUUCAAUGUGGGCAUCUUGAUGAAGAAGAGUCCACAGUCACAAUAACAAGAUCAUUGAGCUGUCCCCUAAUUGUGGUGAGCUACAUGUUUAGUCUCUUAUGUGCUAAACAUUAUGUAGCCUAAGGAAGCAGCCCUGACUCUGGAGUUUAUAUGAAGGUAUGUUUUUACAUUUUUAAGUUUAUUUCAUUUUUAUAAGACAAG